UACAGAGGGUGCAAGCGUUGUCCGGGAUCACUGGGCGUAAAGGGCGCGUAGGCGGCCCGGUAAGUAGGGGGUGAAAUCUCACGGCUCAACUGUGAGGCUGCCUUCUAGACUGCCAGGCUCGAGCACAGUAGAGGCUGGUGGAAUUCCCGGUGUAGCGGUGGAAUGCGUAGAGAUCGGGAAGAACAUCUGUGGCGAAGGCGGCCAGCUGGGCUGUUGCUGACGCUGAUGCGCGACAGCGUGGGGAGCAAACAGG
rnacentral:rRNA from 1 species